GACAGAGGAUGCAAACGUUGCUCGGAAUUACUGGGCGUAAAGAGCGUGUAGGCGGCCUGGAAGGUCCGUUGUGAAAACUCGAGGCUCAACCUCGAGACGUCGAUGGAAACCCUCAGGCUAGAGUCCGGAAGAGGAGAGUGGAAUUCCUGGUGUAGCGGUGAAAUGCGCAGAUAUCAGGAAGAACACCUAUGGCGAAGGCAGCUCUCUGGGACGGUACUGACGCUGAGACGCGAAAGCGUGGGGAGCGAACAGG
rnacentral:rRNA from 1 species